rnacentral:rRNA from 1 species
CAGUAAAUUAAUUAUUAUUUUAAUAAAAUAUAUUACAUAAGUAUCUAAUAAAAUUAAAUAAUUCAGUUACCAUAGGGAUACAGCGUAAUAAUUUUCUAAAGAUCUUAUUUAAAAUAUAGAUUCCGACCUCGAUGUUGAAUUAAUAACCUAAUUAAGGCAUUACUUAAGAAAGUAAGUCUGUUCGACUUUUAAAACAUUACAUGAUGUGAGUUCAGACCGGUGUAAGCCAGGUCGGUAUCUAUCUUCUAAAAAAUUUYWKACAGUACGAAAGGACCUAAAW